rnacentral:misc_RNA from 1 species
GAUGAAGAACGUAGCGAAAUGCGAUAAGUAAUGUGAAUUGCAGAAUUCAGUGAAUCAUCGAAUCUUUGAACGCACAUUGCGCCCGCUAGUAUUCUGGCGGGCAUGCCUGUCCGAGCGUCAUGUCAACCCUCAAGCCCCCGGGCUUGGUGUUGGGGAUCGGCGAGCCUCCGCGCCCGCCGUCCCCUAAAUCUAGUGGCGGUCUCGCUGUAGCUUCCUCUGCGUAGUAGCACACCUCGCACUGGGAAACAGCGCGGCCACGCCGUUAAACCCCCAACUUCUGAACGUUUGACCUCGGAUCAGGUAGGAAUACCCGCUGAACUUAAGCAUAUCAAUAAGCGGAGGA